GCGCUUUCGAGCUAAAAGUACGAAGUGCCGAUGCGGGGAAUCAGUCCACUGGACUGAUUUCCGCUUCUGCUUUGAUGUGUUGAAUGCAGACAAGCCCUAAAACACCGGCGGGAGCGGCAUAUGAAUAAGGUCGCUCCGGUUCAUUUUUAGAAUG
rnacentral:misc_RNA from 1 species